GCUCCCAGAGCCAGGGGCACUCCGCUGUCUCUGUGAGCGUUUGGAGGCGAGGCGGUCAGGUGUAGCUCCAGGACCGAGUCUGCACAGAUGGCUAAACUGCUGUCUGGAGAAGGAAGUGAGGACAGAAGCUGCGGGCCAGGGAAUAUCCGAGAGUGAACCAGUGUGUUCACCGAGCUACCAAGUGUCCAGAAGAGGAACCUACCAUUUAAACAGCUCCGCUUCUGAUGGUCUGGGCAAGACAUUUUCAAUAGACUGUUCUAGCCCAAAGCAGGCACCUGCCCGUCAGUCCCUGCCGGCCUCAUUGGGCAUCAGCGCUGGGGGACAGGAAGGCGCUAGCCAGCCUCCUGGCAGAGCCCAGUGAGUUUGGCUGUGACAAUGGAGUUGGGUAGGAGCCCUUCGACUCCCCAAGAAGCCAUUUCCCCUCUUGGUGUACUGAGUGCUGUGCCCAGAAGCUCCCCAGUGGGGAAGCUUCAAACACUUCCCAUUGGGCCAGGUGCCCACCGAGGGGCCCAUGGCAGCCCAGCCUCGGCAGGGGAUGUCUCCUUAGGGGAGCCUAGCGGUGCCUUGAAGAUCCCUAACAGGGACAGCGGGAUUGACAGCCCGUCUUCCAGUGUGGCCAGCGAGAACUUCCCCUGUGAAGAGGGCAGUGAGGGCUCCCCAAGUCCUGCCAUCCUGGGGCUACAUCCUGAGACAGCUUCGGACAGCCGGCUCCCACAGGACACCCCCCAGGAGGAGGAAGAUAGUGGCGUGGGUGAGGAGUCUGACCCCAAGACCACCCCUUCCAGGCCUGAGGAGGAUGUUGGCUUG